GUUUUUAGCUGGUUGCUUUCGCCUAGCACGGUGGUGGGAGGGAGGUGCUCCUGAUUUCAGUCGAUGGAUCAGUGGUCAAUCAGAAUUCGGCUGGUUGCUUACGCCUAACAAAGUGGGAGGGGGUAAUGAUUGGAUCAGUGGUCCUCCUUUUAACUCUUCUUCUUCCUCUCUUUGUGGCCAACUUAAACUUGGUAUUGUGAUUAUUUCUUUCAAGAAUUUUUGUUGGGUGCUCUUCUCUAACAUCUUUUAUGGAUUAAUCGAUCAGUUCUUCCUAGAAUUCCAUCCAUCCAUUUGUUCAUGUCAAUCCUUUUCCAUCUCCAUAAUGAAAGUAUUCUCUCUUUUUUUCC